GAUAGUAGGAAACAUUCAAAUGAGAACUGGAGAAGGGUUCCAUGUGAACAUCGGUAGAAUGUGGGUCAGUCGGUCCUAAGAGAUAGGAAAACACCGUUCUGAAGGGAUGGGUGAUUGCCUCCAUUGCCGUUGGCGAAUCAAAAAGGAGUUGGGUUCAGAUCUCUGAAUCCAGAGUGGCAAAGAUGGGCACCACCAGGAGGGUAGGACCCGAACCAAUGCCUCAAGUUGUCAGAAAAGAGGUUCU